GAUGAAGAACGUAGCGAAAUGCGAUAAGUAGUGUGAAUUGCAGAAUUCAGUGAAUCAUCGAAUCUUUGAACGCACAUUGCGCCCCUUGGUAUUCCAUGGGGCAUGCCUGUUCGAGCGUCAUUUGUACCUUCAAGCUUUGCUUGGGGUUGGGUGUUUGUCCUGAGGGACUCGCCUUAAAGUAAUUGGCAGCCAGUGUUUGGUUUUGAAGCGCAGCACAAGUCGCGAUUCAAAGCUAUACGCCCGCUUCCACAAGCCUUUUUCACUUUUGACCUCGGAUCAGGUAGGGAUACCCGCUGAACUUAAGCAUAUCAAUAAGCGGAGGA
rnacentral:misc_RNA from 1 species